GGGUCAGUAGGUUGGUCGUGCCACCGGUACGUACUGGUCUCACUGAUUCCUCCUUCCCGAAGAACCGUAGUGCCAUUAAUUUGGUGUUGCGGGGAAACAGGACUGUUACUUUGAAAAAAUUAGAGUGUUUAAAGCAAGCUAACGCUUGAAUACAUUAGCAUGGAAUAAUGAAAUAGGACGAUCGAUCCUAUUUUGUUGGUUUCUAGGAUUGACGUA
rnacentral:rRNA from 1 species